AGCUCCAAUAGCGUAUAUUAAAGUUGUUGCAGUUAAAAAGCUCGUAGUUGGAUUUCUGGCAGGAGCGACCGGUCACACACUCUGUGUGUGAACUUGUGUUGUCUCUGGCCAUCCUUGGGGAGAUCCUGUUUGGCAUUAAGUUGUCGGGCAGGGGACAUCCAUCGUUUACUGUGAAAAAAUUAGAGUGUUUAAAGCAGGCUUAUGCCGUUGAAUAUAUUAGCAUGGAAUAAUAAGAUAGGACUUCGGAACUAUUUUGUUGGUUUGCGUUACGAAGUAAUGAUUAAUAGGGACAGUUGGGGGUAUUCGUAUUUCGUUGUCAGAGGUGAAAUUCUUGGAUUUCCGAAAGACGAACUACUGCGAAAGCAUUUACCAAGGAUGUUU
rnacentral:rRNA from 1 species